GUGGGCUAGUGGACAAGAUAUAGUGUGGCAGUACCUGUGGAACUGUGACUCACCUGAAGCUAGGCAUACUUGGCAUGAUGCGGCUUAUUGUCUCCGUGACACUGGCCUUCCUCUGGGCAGCAUAGACCAGACCCCCAAGGAGAAGUACUAUCAGUACAGUCACCCCGAUGGCUAUACCCACUGGGAGGGAGAGAAUGAGAGAGAGAGAGAGUGAAAGAGAAGGGAGAGAAGGAUAUGAGGUGAAAGGGAGAAAGACAGAGACAAAGGGGAGACGGAAAGACAUUGGCAUCUUGUGGUAUGGAAAAAAAUGUAUGAACAAAAUAACGAUGGAUCAUGGAUGAACUGUAGCAUGUACCUGAAGAUGCGACCACCCCAAAUAUGUUUAUCUCGCAAAAGUCUCCCUGCCAUUCUGGAGUACAUUUGAGGAAAAAAAUGUAACCAAUGUUAUACAGAGAGGGGUAACACAGGCAGGGCUCGUACGCUAUCCAUAAUAAGGACAGAGUCACACGUUAUGUUCAGGUUAUUUGUUGAAUUUAAGACUUUAAUGCCACUUGGAAUGCAAAUCAAUACCAAUUUUGAGGUUUGCAAGCACCACACACCUGCUAAUAUUCCACUCCAUGUUGGCAAAAAGUAGUAUUUUUAUGUUUGAAUUUCAAAGGCUAUAACCUACAGUACAUGGCUCAUAAUAUUAUCAGGCAGGUGUGCUAUUUUAGUAAUGCGCAUUCUCCUGUAGCCUAACGGAUGUAGUAGCAUAGUGGCUAGGAUAUAGAUGGCUGAAGCAUGGGGUUGCCCAUCUGCAUUUGUUUAGGCUACCCCAAAUGGCCAAAUCAUUAACUAAAUCACAAACUCUAGGCCUAAGUGUUCAGAAUUUUGGCUUCGAUACCAAUAUCAAGUUUUGUAUAAUGAUGCUCAAUAUCAUAACGAAACCACUGUGAAAAUGCCUUAAAGUCAAAUAUACAGCUAUGUUACUGUAUAAAACACGUGGUCAACUCUCCAUCUGGAAAUCCAAGCCACUGGGUGUGCAGGCUUUUGAUCCUGCACUGCUCAAACACACCUGAGUCAGCUUAACAAGGUCCUGUUGAGCAGAUAGUGUGUUAGAGUUGAGGGUGGAACAAAAGUCUACACAACCAGUAGCUCUCUUGGAGGUAUUAUGCUAUACCGUUAGAACAUUAGCCUACAACCAAAAAGCCUAAUCAAAUAAUUCCCUUGUUCAGUGAAUCAGGUAUCAAAUGGCUAUACUUUGAAGCAAGGUAGCUCUAGACUGAGUUUUUCCAGUGCCAAGUAAGACAUGAAAGAAGUUGAAUCUAAAAUGUUAAUGGAAUGCAUGAUGGGUAUUUUGAUUUGUAAUGUUUUGUGCAUAUUGACCGGGGGCAAUUGUAUGAUUUAAACAGUACAAAUACAACCUACGCAGAUUGCUCAAGAUGAUGAAUAUAGGGACAGAGUGGAGAAAGAGGUGGAUACGAGGUGCAUGUGAAGGGCUUCUAAUGAUCACGGAUUACAACCAACGCCGCCCUACAGUACAAGCUAUACAGCUUUUUCUCACGCUUUAAGCAAAACGACUCUGAGUUGCUGAGUAGAGCCCUUGAUGACAACAAGGGCUAUGUGGUUACGGUCUUCACGGAGGACGUAUACAAGUCAUUCAAGCGUGUUAACCCUCUCAAGGCUGCCGGCCCAUACGGCAUCCCUAGCCGUGCCCUCAGAACAUGUGCAGACCAGUUAGCUGUUGAUGGAGCCGACAGACACGACAGCUCUGCUUCUAGCUCCUAAGCAAAUCUGCAGUGUUUUUUUUCUUUCUGUGUUAUUUCUUACGUUAAUAGCCCAGAAUAUUUUUUCUGGUAUUACAUACAGCCGGAAAUCAGAGGGCGGUUUUGGAUAUCAGAGGGCGGUAACUCACCAGUAUUACGACCAGGAAUACAAAUUUUCCGAAUUGGAUCCUUCGUUCGUACCCCCCCAGGGCAAUUGAACUUAUUCCAGAGGCUGCUUCAAGAUGCCGCCAGCGGAGAAGAGGUAUUCGGAGUAGACUUCUAGUCCAACUCAGGAGGCGUGCACACCAUCCACCGCUUCCGAGUAUAUUACUCGCUAAUGUUCAGUCUUGGACAACAAUAUAGACAAGCUCAGGGCAAGGAUCUCCUUCCAGAGAGGCAUCAGGGACUGUAACAGUCAGUUUCAUGGAAUCAUGACUCUCUCGGGAUAUACUGUCCCCGUCCAUACAGCCAGCUCGGUUCUCAGUUUACCCAAAACAAAAACCGUGGAUAGAUGGCAGCAUUCGUGCAAAAUUGAAAGCGCGAACCACCGCAUUUAACCAUGGCAAGGUGACUGGGAAUAUGAUUGGAUACAAACAGUGUAGUUAUUCCCUCCGUUAGGCAAUCAAACAAAGCAAAACGUCAGUACAGAGACAAAGUGGAGUUGCAAUUCAACGGCUCAGACACGAGACGUAUGUGGUAGGGUUUACAGACAAUCACGGAUUACAAAGGAAAAACCAGCCACGUCACGGACACCGAUGUCUUGCUCCCAGACGAGCUAAACACCUUCUUCGCCCGUUUUGAGGAUAACACAGAGCCACCGACGCUGCCCGCUGACUGUGGGCUCUCGUUCUCCGUGGCCGACGUGAGUACGACAAUUAAGCGUGUUACCCUUUGCAAGGCUGCAGGCCCAGACGACAUCCCUAGCCGCUUCCUCACGAGCAGGCGCAGACCAGCUGGCUGUAGUGUUUACAAACGUACUCAAUCUCUCCCUAUCCCCGUCUGCUGUCCCCACUUGCUUCAAGAUGUCCAGCAUUGUUCCUGCACCCAAGAAAGCAAAGGUAACUGAUCUAAAUGACUAUCGCCCCGUAGCACUCACUUCUGUCAUCAUGAAGUGCUUUGAGAGGCUAGUUACCUGACACCCUAGACCCACUUCAAUUUGCUUACCGCCCCAAUAGAUCCAGCAAAGCUGUCAUCAAGGCGAAGAGUGGCUACUUUGAAAAAUCUAAAAUAUGAUUAACACUUUUUUGGUUGCUACAUGAUUCCAUAUGUGUUAUUUAAUAGUUUUGAUGUCUUCACUGCAAUGUAGAAAAUAGUAAAAAUAAAGAAAAACCCUUGAAAUAGUAGAUGUGUCCAAACUUUUGACUGGUACUGUAUGUGAGAAUACUUUUUAUCGACUACAGCUCGGCCUUCAAAACCAUUGUGCCCACUAAGCUCACCACAAAGCGCACAGCCCUGGGACUGAACUCUUCCCUAUGCAACUGGGUCCUGGAAUACCUGACGGGCUGCCCCCAGAUGAUGAAGGUAGGCAACAUUACCUCCUCCACAUGGGGGCCCCACAAGGGUAUGUCCUCAGUCCCCUCCAGUACUCCCUGUAUACCCACGACUGCAUGGCCUCACACAGUUCCAACUCCCUCAUCAAGAGUGCUGACGACACGACAGUAGUAGGCCUGAUUACCAACAACGAUGAGAUGGCCUACAGGGAGGAGGUAGGCACUGACUGUGUGGUGCCAGGUAAAAAUCCUAAAGUCAGCAAAACAAAGGAGCCGAUUGUGGACUUCCGGAGGAACCCGGCUGGGCACGCCCCCCAACCUCAUCAGUGGGGCCGCUGUGAAGACUGUCAAAAAUUUCAAGUUCCUCAGUGUACACAUCUCCAAAGAGCUGAAAUGGUCAAACCACACUAACACUGUGGUGAAGAAGGAACGACAGCUAACCUCAGGAGGCUGAAGAAAUUUGGCCUGUCCCAUCAGGCCCUCACAUCAAAAACAUACAGUCGGACUACAUCACAGUCUGGUACGACGACUCCACCCUCACUGACCGCAAGGCUCUUCUGCGUUCAGCUGCGUUCAGCUGGUAUGCUCAGCUGAACGCACCAUGGGUUGUUACACUCCCAUAAAGCUGAGACUCUCCUCUUUUUUUAACAACAGUAUCAGUAGUUAUUUUUAAAAAAACUGUCUUUCACACAAUUACAUUUUGAAAUGUUGCUCAACUGUCAGUAUGCUUGCACGUACAGAAUACAUCUCUCCCUUCACUCCAUGUUUAAAUAGGUGAGCGGAAGUGAGAGCCAGGACAAAACAGGGACAGGGCAGAUACAUACAUACUUUCAUUGCAGGAAGCAGAUUAAUUAAAGCACAUUAUUGUUGACCAAAUAAUGGCUUUUAGAGCCAAAACAUUUGCAGGAACUUGUGUAGCCUAAUCACCGAAAUGACAGAUGUACGCACAUUUGCUUCGAUAAGAGGGCAAUGUUCGUGUUGUCUAUCAAAUUGUAUAGGCUUAUUAAGCUACUAUUGGCUACUAUUGCUACUUAUUAGGCUACUUAUUAUUGCUCUCAUCUCUCUUCUCUGGCAACGGACCGACUCUCACUGGCACACGCACCUGAUGUGCGCACACAGACAUGUGGUUGGAUAGCUCUUCAACAUCUUCGAAAGUGUGCCUCAGGUAUUAUUUGAUCAAUUUUGUGUAUUUUUUUUUUGCAGUGGUGGCAACAAUUAAAACCUCUACAGGAUCGGACGGUUGAGCUAACGUAGGCUAAUGCGAUUAGCAUAAGGUUGUAAGUAACAAGAACAUUUCCCAGGACAUAGACAUAUUUGAUAUUGGCAGAAAGCUUAAAUUCUUGUUAAUCUAACUGCACUGUCCAAUUUACAGUAGCUAUUACAGUGAUAUAAUAUCAUGCUAUUGUUUGAGGACAGUGCACAGUUAUGAACUUGAAAAGUUAUUAAUAAACCAAUUAGGCACAUUUGGGCAGUCUUGAUACAACAUUUUGAUCAGAAAUACAAUGGUUCAUUGUAUCAGUCUAAAACUUUGCACAUACACUGCUACCAUCUAGUGGCCAAAACCUAAAUUCUGCCUGGGCUGGAAUAAUACAUUAUGGCCUUUCCCUGGCAUUUCAAAGAUGGUACAAAACCAAUACAAAAAACCACAUGUUUUUUUCUUUGUAUUAUCUUUUACCAAAUCGAAUGCGUUAUAUUUUCCUACAUUAAUUUCACAUUUCCACAAAUUUCAAAGUGUUUCCUUUGAAAUGGUAUCAAGAAUAUGCAUAUCCUUGCUUCAGCUCCUGAGCUACAGCUAGUUAGAUUUGGAUAUGUCAUUUUAGGCAAAAAUGGAAAAAGUGGCGGAUCCUUAGCAGCGGCACAAUAUAAAGGACACACUCUAGUCCUCUCCGUCACAUUUGUUAAGACGUUUGAAUACUGAAUUUAAGAAAUUUUAGGAUUUAAUAAGGCUUUUAAAUCAGAAAUGUAUUUAAGACUAAUACUUUUUAAGGACCCUUGGACACUUAAAAAUGGCACUAAUAGGACAAGUUAAUGUAACAGCCAACUUACAUGCACAUGGCCUUGUUGUCAUCAAAGUAGCAUGUUCCGCCAUUUAUACACUGGCAUGGAGGGGGCAUGGUGGGUGGAGGGUCAAAUCCUG
ensembl:lncRNA